rnacentral:lncRNA from 10 species
ACACAGAUGAAGAUGACAUCUAUGGAAUCUUUUCCUUGCAAUUGAUGCAUUCUUUAGUCCAGUAAUAUCAUCUCACUUUGUAUCCAAGAGAUCCUCUCUGUUCAUGUAGAAUUCAGCCAAACACUACAAUGGAUGUGGAAUAAAUGAGCAACAAAUAUUGAAUUAAUAAAUAAACAUCGCACUUUCUGAUGAGGCUGGAGGCUCUCACUUGAUAGCAGAGGAUAAAGAGAAGAAGAAAAGCAGGAACUACUUUCGGCUGGUAAGCAGAUCUUACAGUACAGUAGUUAAGCAUAUAAUGUUUGGAGCCUGACUGAUAUAGGCACAAAUCUCAAGUCCACAACUAUGUGAACGUUGACUUGUGAGAAGAUCCAAAUUUGCUUUGCCUUUGCCUUCCACCAUGACUGUAAGUUGCCUGAGUCCUCCCUGGCCAUAUGGACCUAAUCUCGCUCUGCCACCCAGGCUGGAGUGCAGUGAUAUGAUCCUGGUUCAUUGCAACCUCUACCUUCCAGAUUCAAGAAAUUCUCCUGCCUCAGUCUCCCAAGUAGCUG